rnacentral:rRNA from 1 species
UACGGGGGGAGCAAGCGUUGUUCGGAUUUACUGGGCGUAAAGGGCGCGUAGGCGGCCACCGCAAGUCGACUGUGAAAUCUCCGGGCUUAACUCGGAAAGGUCAGCCGAUACUGCGGGGCUAGAGUGCAGAAGGGGCAACUGGAAUUCUCGGUGUAGCGGUGAAAUGCGUAGAUAUCGGGAGGAACACCGGUGGCGAAGGCGGUUCUCUGGGCCUUACCUGACGCUGAGGAGCGAAAGCGUGGGGAGCGAACAGG